AUGCUCGAUACGUGCUAGAGCUGAAACAACUAAUCGAUUUAAUCGAUUAUAAUCGAUUAUUAAAAUAGUUAACAACUUUUUUAGUCAUCGAUUAGUUGUUUAAUAAUCAUAUUUUACCGCAUAAAGUCUAUUUUUACCACAAUCUGACAUCGGUUACAAGCUGUUAAAUUUGCCGCCAGUGUGUGGCAGUAAUGAGCCACUGAUCUACCAGUGGAGCCGUAGAAGAAGAAAUGAGCCAAUGAGUGCCCUCGGUUUUCAUGACGUAUCACGUUACUGACGCUCAUCUUGCUGUGAGAGAUGGCGGAACAAGAGGAAAUACGGAAGAAAAAUAGAAGCGACAAAAUUUUAGAGAAACCCCGGACAAAAACCUCACGAGUAUGGGAGCACUUCACUAGAUGCAUUGAAAAGGCAAAAUAUGCAAAAACCAUCUAGCAUGGCACGGAAGCACGACGUCCCUAAGUGAACAUUUGAGACGAAAACGUGGGGGCUGAGGAAGAGCACCGCGGUCAAGUGAGCCGUCAUUUGGAAGAGCCAGCCCGAAAAAAAACAAGCAACGAUGGACAACUACAUGGGGAAAGAGACACUCACCCCCCAGCAAUUCAUACCACUUACAAACUCUAUUCUAAACAUGCUGGUAAAAGACAUGAGGCCACUAUCCAUGGUGGAAGGAGCAGGCUUCCAGCUAAUGCUAAAAAAUUAUUCUGGACUGAUAUUUUGCACUGUUUAGCUCAUUUUAUACUGCUGACUGUGUUCAUGUGCAAUAAAAUAGAUUGCAGUCAACUGCACAA